rnacentral:rRNA from 1 species
UUUGUAGAAUGAACCGGCGAGUUACGAUUUGAUGCAAGGUUAAGCAGUAAAUGUGGAGCCGUAGCGAAAGCGAGUCUGAAUAGGGCGUUUAGUAUUUGGUCGUAGACCCGAAACCAGGUGAUCUACCCUUGGUCAGGUUGAAGUUCAGGUAACACUGAAUGGAGGACCGAACCGACUUACGUUGAAAAGUGAGCGGAUGAACUGAGGGUAGCGGAGAAAUUCCAAUCGAACCUGGAGAUAGCUGGUUCUCUCCGAAAUAGCUUUAGGGCUAGCCUCAAGUGAUGAUUAUUGGAGGUAGAGCACUGUUUGGACGAGGGGCCCCUCUCGGGUUACCGAAUUCAGACAAACUCCGAAUGCCAAUUAAUUUAACUUGGGAGUC